CCUACGGGUGGCAGCAGUGAGGAAUAUUGGUCAAUGGACGGAAGUCUGAACCAGCCAUGCCGCGUGCAGGAAGACGGCUCUAUGAUUUGUAAUCAGCUUUUGUACGAGGGUAAACCUGAAUACGUGUAUUCAGCUGAAAGUACUGUACGAAUAAGGAUCGGCUAACUCCGUGCCAGCAGCCGCGGUAAUCCGGAGGAGCCAAGCGUUAUCCGGAUUUAUUGGGUUUAAUGGGUGCGUAGGCGGAUUGAUUAGUUAGAGGUGAAAUGUCCGGGCUUAACGCGGGAACUUCCUCUAAUACUGUUGAUCUAGAGAGUAGAUGCGGUAGGCGGAAUGUAUGGUGUAGCGGUGAAAUGCUGAGAGAUCAGACAGAACACCGAUUGCGAAGGCAGCUCACCAAUCUAUAUCUGACGUUGAGGCACGAAAGCGUGGGGAGCAAACAGGAUUAGAUACCCUUGUAGUC
rnacentral:rRNA from 1 species